UACGUAGGGCGCAAGCGUUGUCCGGAAUUAUUGGGCGUAAAGGGCGCGUAGGCGGCCUGAUAAGUAGGGGGUGAAAUCCUGCGGCUUAACCGCAGGGCUGCCUUCUAAACUGUCAGGCUCGAGCACAGUAGAGGCAGGUGGAAUUCCCGGUGUAGCGGUGGAAUGCGUAGAGAUCGGGAAGAACAUCAGUGGCGAAGGCGGCCUGCUGGGCUGUUGCUGACGCUGAGGCGCGACAGCGUGGGGAGCAAACAGGG
rnacentral:rRNA from 1 species